AUGAACGCUGGCGGCGUGCCUAAUACAUGCAAGUCGAACGGAAAAUGUAGCAAUAUAUUUUCAGUGGCGAACGGGUGAGUAACGCGUUGGUGACCUGCCCCGAAGAGGGGGAUAACAGUCCGAAAGGAUUGCUAAUACCCCAUAUGGUCAUUAGGAUUAGAUGCCUUUUGACUAAAGGAGAAAUUCACUUUGGGAGGGGCCUGCGUCCCAUCAGCUAGUUGGUAGGGUAAUGGCCUACCAAGGCUAUGACGGGUAGGGGACCUGAGAGGGUGACCCCCCACAAUGGAACUGAAACACGGUCCAUACACCUACGGGUGGCAGCAGUAGGGAAUAUUGGUUAAUGUGCGAAAGCGCGAACCAGCAACGCCGCGUGUGCGAUGAAGGCCUUCGGGUUGUAAAGCACUUUUUGAAGGGAAGAGGAAGGACGGUACCUUCAGAAUAAGCCUCGGCUAACUACGU
rnacentral:rRNA from 1 species